rnacentral:tRNA from 1 species
GUCCCUGUAGCGCAGUGGAUAGCGCUUUAAACUUCCAAUCAAGGUCCUGGUUUCGAAUACCACUGGGGAUG